GAUGAACGCUGACAGAAUGCUUAACACAUGCAAGUCAACUUGAACUUCGGUUUGGGUGGCGGACGGGUGAGUAACGCGUAAAGAACUUGCCUCACAGAUAGGGACAACAUUUGGAAACGAAUGCUAAUACCUGAUAUUAUGAUUAUAUGGCAUCGUAUAAUUAUGAAAGCUAUAUGCGCUGUGAGAGAGCUUUGCGUCCCAUUAGCUAGUUGGAGAGGUAACGGCUCACCAAGGCGAUGAUGGGUAGCCGGCCUGAGAGGGUGAUCGGCCACAAGGGGACUGAGACACGGCCCUUACUCCUACGGGAGGCAGCAGUGGGGAAUAUUGGACAAUGGACCAAGAGUCUGAUCCAGCAAUUCUGUGUGCACGAUGAAGUUUUUCGGAAUGUAAAGUGCUUUCAGUUGGGAAGAAAAAAAUGACGGUACCAACAGAAGAAGUGACGGCUAAAUACGUGCCAGCAGCCGCGGUAAUACGUAGGGGGCUAGCGUUAUCCGGAUUUACUGGGCGUAAAGGGUGCGUAGGUGGUCCUUCAAGUCGGUGGUUAAAGGCUACGGCUCAACCGUAGUAAGCCGCCGAAACUGGAGGACUUGAGUGCAGGAGAGGAAAGUGGAAUUCCCAGUGUAGCGGUGAAAUGCGUAGAUAUUGGGAGGAACACCAGUAGCGAAGGCGGCUUUCUGGACUGCAACUGACACUGAGGCACGAAAGCGUGGGUAGCAAACAGG
rnacentral:rRNA from 1 species